rnacentral:tRNA from 1 species
GGCGACAUAGCCAAGUGGUAAGGCAGUGGGCUGCAACUCCUUGAUCCCCAGUUCGAAUCUGGGUGUCGCCUCCA